UAAUUGCCAGUUGUCUGAUAACUGUUCUUUCGCUGCUCUGAAGAGCUGAGCUUCACAGGACAGAAUGAAUAAGGAAAUAACUGUAUGUUUUACUUAACCCAAUGAUGAGCUAAUUCCAUAUGCCAUUUUGUACUGAUUCUUAUCCUUAAGAGGUUACUACCUUCAAAAAUACUGUGAGAUUCACAAAAAACUGCCUUGGAGACCUUUUCUAAUUUGUGAUGUUUGGAAUGUUAGGGACCCAUAAAAGGAGGACACCCCCAGGGUAACCCUAUGAUUUCAUAACAAGGAGCAAAAGAAUAUGUGCAUCCUUAGAACCCACAGCUUCAAAGGACAAUGAUUUUGGAUCUCCUGAUGUUUGCUUAGCAGCAUCACAAGCAAGCUGCCUUCUGAGGAAAUGGGUGACUGGUUUGAGGGACACACUUUUAAAGAAGUCUUCUGUGAUGGACAUAUUCAUUGUAGAGGAGAAACAUACUGCUUCCAUUGUCUUAGAGCUCUUGUUUCUUGUUGCAUGUUGUGAGUUCUUCAAGAACAUGGGUACCUAGAACUUGGCAGAUGAGGCAAGCUGGAAAUAAGUGGUUUGGGAAUCUGAGCAAGGCUCCAGAAACUCCUUUGAAAGACUGUAAGCUCAUCUCCUGAUGAAGGGCAUCUGCCCUCUGAAGAGACUUGAGGUGUAGCAUUCCUGAAACAUUUUGGUUGAGAUACAUUGUUUUUAGACAUUUAUGGGAUGCAGUCUAACAGAGGACAGAGUGACCAUCUUUCCCAUCCAUUCUUCUCUAAAAUAUGUUGGACUAGUUUAUGGCAUAUAAUUUUAGGCUUUCACCUAAGAAGGACAGUAAAAGACUGCCAGUACUUUUUCCCUGCUACUUUCCUCUGUAGUGCUGACAUUUAAAAGAAAUUUGGAAGAUGACAAGACUACAGGGCCUUCAUGUUCUUUUUCUGUGUACUACUGAAAAUAUUGUGAACUUCUGUUCCAAGGACUGUUUGUCAAGUACAAACUGGAACAGUGCCGAGGCAUGGGAUUCAACCUGGCAUUCCACAUCGCUAGAGCCUCUCUCAGGAAUUCACCUGGAAACUAUUGAUGAAUUUUCAGUCAUGAUACCUCACCAUGUCCUGCAGACAGACACUUAGAAAGUUUUGCUUCUGAACAUUGGGUAUUAAUCCCUUCCCUCUGCAUAGCAAAAUUAACCUAGGUGUUAUGUGCAAUUUUAUUG
rnacentral:lncRNA from 1 species